GCGUGACGUCAGGCGGACGCCAUAAGGCUGUGGGAACGGCAGUGCUUGAUCGGCAGUUGUGGAGGUUGUGGUGUCGCCGUAGCUGUAGCUUUGUUUAUUGUUGUGUAUUCGUUGGUGGACGGAACAGGGAGCGCCUGCGGAGGAUGGCGAGUGCCUGCAGAGCAAGGGAGCACCUGCGGAUGAUGGGAGUACCUGCAGAGAAGAAGGAGGGUUUGCGGAGGACACAGUGCCGUCGGAGAAUACAGGUAGUGCGCCGGCGGAGGUUAGAGGUAGUGCGCUGUCAGAAGAUAGAGGUGGAGCAUCUGUGGAGGAUGGGAGCACUGUCAGAAGACAGAGGUAGUGCGCCGGUAGAGGUUAGAGGUAGUGCACCAUUGGAGGAUAAAGGUGGAGGGUUUGCGGAGGACGGGAACACCUGAGGAGAUGGGGAGUGCCUGCAGAGGACAGGAACGUCGUCAGAGGAUAGUGGUUGUGCGCUGGCAAAGGUUAGAGGUAGUGUGCUAGCAGAGGAAAGAGGUGCAACAGCUGCGGGGGAUGGGAGAGCCAUCAGAAGAUAGAGGUAGUGCGCCAGCAGAGGUUAGAUGUAGUGCGACAUUGGAAGAUAGAGGUGGAGUGUCUGUGGAGAAUGAAAGCACCUGCAGAGAACAGGGAGCGCCAGCAGAGGAUGGGAGCACCGUCAGAAGAUAGAGGUAGCACGCCGGUGGAGGUUAGAUGUAGUGUGCCAUCAGAGAAUAGAGGUGGAGUACCUGCAGAGGACAGGGAGCACCUGUGGGGAACAGGGAGCGCUUGCAGAGGACAGGAGCACCGUCAGAAUAUAGAGGUAGUGCGCCAGCAGAGGUUAGAGGUAGUGCACCAUUGGAGGACAGAGGUGGAUGGUCUGUGGAGGACAGGAGCACCUGAAGAAAACAGGGAGCACCUACGGGGGACGGGAGCUCAGUCAGAAGACAAAGGUAGCACCAGCAGAGAUUAGAGGUAACACACCAGCAGAGGAUAAGAGGUAGCACGCCGGCAAAGGUUAGAGGUAGUGCACUGUCAGACGAUAGAGGUGUAACGUAUGCGGAGAAAAAGAGGACCUGCGGAGAACAAGGAGUGCCAGCAGAUGAUGGGAGCACAAUCAGAAGAUAGAGGUAGCUUGCCGGCAGAGGUUAGAGGUAGUGCACUGUUGGAGGAUCAAAGUAGUGGGUCUGCGGAGAACAGGAGAACCUGCGGAGAACAGGGAGUGACUGCAGAGGACGGGAACACCGGCAGAAAACAGAAUUAGUGCACCGGCAGAGGUUAGAUGUAGUGCGCUGUUGGAGGAUAGAGGUGGAAUGUCUGCGGAGGAAAAGAGCACCUGCAGGGAACUGGAAGUAAUUGCGGAGGACAGGAGUGCCGUCAUAAGACAGAUUUAGUGCACUGGCAGAGGUUAGAUGUAGUGUGCCAUCAGAAGAUAUAGGUGGAGCAUCUGCGGAGGACAGGAGCAUCUGCGGAGAACACAGACGGCCUGCAGAUGAUGGGAGUGUUGUCAGAAGAUAGAGGUAGUGCGCUGGCAGAGGUUAGAUGUAGUGCCCCAUCAGAGGAUCGAGGUGGAGGGUCUAGGGAGGAAGAGAUCACCUGCAGAGAACAUGGAGAGCCUGUGCAGGACGGGAGCGCUGUCGAAAGACAGAGUUAGUGAGCUGGCAGAGUUUAGAUGCAGUGUGCCAUCACGGGAUAGAGGUGAAGAGUCUGCGGAGGACGGGAGCACCUGUGAAGAACAAAGAGUGCCUGCAGAUGACGGGAGCGCGAACAGAAGAUAGAGGUAGCACACUGGCAGUGGUUACAGGUAGUGCGCUGUCACAGGAUCGAAGUGCAAGGUCUGGGGAGGAUGGGAAUAUCUGUGGAGAUCAAGGAGUGCCUGCAGAUGAUGGAAGCAUGAUCUGAAGAUAGAGGUAGCUUGCAGGCAGAGGUUAGAGGUAGUGUGCUGUUGGAGGAUUGAGGUGGAGGGUCUGCAGAGGACGGGAGCACCUGCGGCAAGCAGGGACUGACUGCGGAGAACGGGAGUGCUGUCAGAAGGAAUAGCUAGUGAACCGGCAGAGGUUAGAGGUAGUGUGCCUUGAGAGGAUAUAGGUGGAACAUCUGCCGAGAAUGGGAGCACGUGUAGAGAACACAGAGCGCCAGCAGAUGAUGGGAGCGUUGUAAGAAGAUAGAGGUAGUGCGCCAGCAGAGGUUAGAGGUAGUGUGCCAUCAGAGGAUCGAGGUGGAGGGUCUGGGGUGGAUGGGAGCACCUGCAGCCAACAGGGAGCACCUGUGGAGGACAGGAGUGCUGUCAGAAGGCAUAGUUAGUGCACCAGCAGAGGUUAGAGGUAGUGUGCCAUCAGAGGAUAUAGGUGGAGGGUCUGCGGAGUAUCGGACCACCUGAGGACAACAGGGAGCACCUGCGGAGGAUGGGAGCGCUGUCAGAAGACAUAGUUAGUGCGCCGGCAGAGGUUAGAGGUAGUGUGCCUUCAGAGGACAUAGGUAGAGCACCUGUGGAGGAUGGGGGUACCUGCAGAGAACACAGAACACCUGGAGAUGAUGGGAGCACUGUCGGAAUGCGUAGUUAGUGCACCAGCAGAGGUUAGAUGUAGUGCAUCAUCAGAGGAUAUAGGUGGAGCAUCGGCAGAGGACGGGAAAACCUACAGAGAUCAAGGAGUGCCUGCAGAUGACAGGAGUGUUGUCAGAAGACAGAGGUAGCGCGCCGGCAGAGGUUAGAGGUAGUGCGCUGUCGGAGAAUCGAGGUGGAGCGUCUGGGGAGGACGGGAGCAUUUGCGGAGAACAGGGAGCACGUGCGGAGGAUGGGAGUGCUGUCAGAAGGUAUAGUUAGUGCGCCAGCAGAGGUUAGAUGUAGUGCGCUGUCGGAGGAUCUAGGUGGAGCGUCUGGGGAGGACAGGAGCACCUGCGGGGAACAGAGACUGCUUGCAGAUGAUGGGAGCGUGGUUAGAAGAUAGAGGUAGUGCGCCAGCAGAGGUUAGAGACAGAGUGACAUCAGAGGAUCGAGGUGGAGAGUCUGCGGUGGAUGGGAGCACCUGCCACCAACAGGGAGCACCCGUGGAGGACAGGAGUGCUUUCAGAAGGCAUAGUUAGUGCGCUGGCAGAGGUUAGAUGUAGUGUGACUUCAGAGGAUGUAGAUGGAGCAUCUGUGGAGGACGGGAGCACCUGCAGAGAACACAGAGCGCUGGCAGAUGAUGGCAGCGUUGUCAGAAGAUAGAGGUAGUGCGCCAGCAGAGGUUAGAGGUAGUGUGCCAUCAGAGGAUAGAGGUAGAGCACCUGUGGAGGAUGGGGGUACCUGCAGAGGACACAGAACACCUGCAGAUGAUGGGAGCACUGUCGGAAUGCAUAGUUAGUGCACCAGCAGAGGUUAGAGGUACUGCGCUGUCAGAGGAUAGAGCUAGAACUUCUGCAGAGGAUAGGAGCACCUGCAGAGAAGAGGAAGCGAUUGCCAAGGAUGGGAGCACCAUCAGAAGACAGAGUUAGUGCGCUGGCCGAGGUUAGAUGUAGUGCAUCAUCAGAGGAUAUAGGUGGAGCAUCGGCAGAGGACGGGAACACCUACAGAGAUCAAGGAGUGCCUGCAGAUGACGGGAGUGUUGUCAGAAGAUAGAGGUAGUGCGCUGUCGGAGGAUCGAGGUGGAGCGUCUGGGGAGGACGGGAGCAUUUGUGGAGAACAGGGAGCAGCUGUGGAGGACAGGAGUGCUGUCAGAAGUCAGUUAGUGCGCCAGCAGAGGUUAGAUGUAGUGUGCCUUCAGAGGAUAUAGGUGGAGCAUCUGCGGAGGAUAGGAGCACCUGUGGAGAACAGGAAGCGAUUGCCAAGGACAGCAGCACCAUCAGAAGACAGAGUUAGUGCGCCAGCAGAGGUUAGAUGUAGUGCAUCAUCAGAGGAUCGAGUUGGAGCGUCUGCGGAGAACAAGAGCAGCUGCGGAGAACACAGACGGCAUGCAGAUGAUGGGAGCGUGGUUAGAAGAUAGAGGUAGUGCGCCAUCAGAGGUUAGAUGUAGUGUGCCAUCAGAGGAUCAAGGUGGAGGGUCUGCCUAGGAUCGGAGUACCUCAGGAGAACAGGGAGCACCUGCGGAGGACAGGAGUGCUGUCAGAAGGCAUAGUUAGUGCGUCAGCAGAGGUUAGAUGUAGUGUGCCUUCAGAAAAUAGAGGUGGAGCAUCUGUGGAGGAUAGGAGCACCUGCGGAGAACAGGAAGCGAUUGCCAAGGACAGGAGCACCAUCAGAAGACAGAGUUAGUGCGCCGGCAGAGGUUAGAUGUAGUGCAUCAUCAGAGGAUCGAGUUGGAGCGUCUGCAGAGGACAAGAGCAUCUGCGGAGAACAGUGACCGCUUGCAGAUGAUGGGAGCGUGGUUAGAAGAUAGAGGUAGUGCGCCGGCAGAGGUUAGAGGUAAUGUGCCAUCAGAGGAUCAAGGUGGAUUAUCUGCGGAGGAUCGGAGCACCUGCGGAGAACAGGGAGCACGUGCGGAGGACGGGAGCGCUGUCAGAAGGCAUAGUUAGUGCGCCGGCAGAGGUUAGAUGUAGUGUGCCUUCAGAGGACAGAGGUGGAGCAUCUGCGGAGGAUAGGAGCACCUGCGGAGGACAGGAAGCAAUUGCCAAGGACAGGAGCACCAUCAGAAGACAGAGUUAGUGCGCUGGCAGAGGUUAGAUGUAGUGCAUCAUCCGAGGAUCGAGUUGGAGCAUCUGCAGAGGACAAGAGCAUCUGCGGAGGUCAAGGAGUGCCUGCAGAUGUUGGGAGUAUUGUCAGAAGAUAGAGGUAGUGCGCCGGCAGAGGUCAGAGGUAGUGCGCUGUCUGAGGAUAGAUGUGGAGCGUCUGCAGAGGACAAGAGCAUCUGCGGAGAACACAGACGGCUUGCAGAUAAUGGGAGCGUGAUUCGGAGAUAGAGGUAGUGUGACAUCAGAGGACUGAGGUGGAGGGUCUACGGAGGAUCGGAGUACCUGAGGAGAACAGGGAGCACCUGCGGAGGACAGGAGUGCUGUCAGAAGGCAUUGUUAGUGCGUCAGCAGAGGUUAGAUGUAGUGUGCCUUCAGAAAAUAGAGGUGGAGCAUCUGUGGAGGAUAGGAGCACCUGCGGAGAACAGGAAGCGAUUGCCAAGGACAGGAGCACCAUCAGAAGACAGAGUUAGUGCGCCAGCAGAGGUUAGAUGUAGUGCAUCAUCAGAGGAUAGAGGUGGAGCGUCUACAGAGGACAAGAGCAUCUGUGGAGAACAGAGGCUGCUUGCAAAUGAUGGGAGCGUGGUUAGAAGAUAGAGGUAGUGUGCCUGCAGAGGUAAGAGGUAGUGUGCCAUCAGAGGAUCGAGAUGGAGGGUCUGGGGUGGAUGGGAGCACCUGCAGCGAACGGGGAGCAGCUGUGGAGGACAGGAGUGCUGUCAGAAGGCAUAGUUAGUGCGCCAGCAGAGGUUAGAUGUAGUGUGCCUUCAGAGGAUAUAGGUGGAGAAUCUGCGGAGGAUAGGGGCAUCUACAGAGAACAGGAAGCGAUUGGCAAGGACAGGAGCGCCAUCAGAAGACAGAGUUAGUGCACCAGCAGAGGUUAGAUGUAGUGCAUCAUCAGAGGAUAGAGGUGGAGCGUCUACAGAGGACAAGAGCAUCUGCGGAGUUCAAGGAGUGCCUGCAGAUGUUGGGAGUAUUGUCAGAAGAUAGAGGUAGUGUGCCAGCAGAGGUUGGAGGUAGUGUGCCAUCAGAGGAUCGAGGUGGAGGGUCUGCGAAGUAUCGGAGCACCUGAGGAGAACAGGGAGCAUCUGCAAAGGACAGGAGUGCUGUCAGAAGGCAUAAUUAGUGCGCCGGCAGAGAUUAGAUGUAGUGUGCCUUCAGAGGAUAGAGGUGGAGCAUCUGCGGAGGAUAGGAGCACCUGUGGAGAACAGGAAGCGAUUGCCAAGGACAGCAGCACCAUCAGAAGACAUAGUUAGUGCGCCAGCAGAGGUUAGAUGUAGUGUGCCUUCAGAGGAUAUAGAUGGAGCAUCUGCGGAGGACGGGAGCACGUGCAGAGAGCACAGAGCGCCGGCAGAUGAUGGGAGCGUUGUCAGAAGAUAGAGGUAGUGCGCUGUCGGAGGAUCGAGGUGGAGCGUCUGGGGAGGAUGGGAGCAUUUGUGGAGAACAGGGAGCAGCUGUGGAGGACAGGAGUGCUGUCAGAAGUCAGUUAGUGCGCCAGCAGAGGUUAGAUGUAGUGUGCCUUCAGAGGAUAGAGGUGGAGCAUCUGCGGAGGAUAGGAGCACCUGUGGAGAACAGGAAGCGAUUGCCAAGGACAGCAGCACCAUCAGAAGACAGAGUUAGUGCGCCAGCUGAGGUUAGAUGUAGUGCAUCAUCAGAGGAUCGAGUUGGAGCGUCUGCGGAGAACAAGAGCAGCUGCGGAGAACACAGACGGCAUGCAGAUGAUGGGAGCGUGGUUAGAAGAUAGAGGUAGUGUGCCAUCAGAGGUUAGAUGUAGUGUGCCAUCAGAGGAUUGAGGUGGAGGGUCUGCCUAGGAUCGGAGUACCUGAGGAGAACAGGGAGCACCUGCGGAGGACAGGAGCGCUGUCGGAAGGCAUAGUUAGUGCGUCAGCAGAGGUUAGAUGUAGUGUGCCUUCAGAAAAUAGAGGUGGAGCAUCUGUGGAGUAUAGGAGCACCUGCGGAGAACAGGAAGCGAUUGCCAAGGACAGGAGCACCAUCAGAAGACAUAGUUAGUGCGCCGGCAGAGGUUAGAUGUAGUGCAUCAUCAGAGGAUCGAGUUGGAGCGUCUGCAGAGGACAAGAGCAUCUGCGGAGAACAGUGACCGCUUGCAGAUGAUGGGAGCGUGGUUAGAAGAUAGAGGUAGUGCGCCGGCAGAGGUUAGAGGUAAUGUGCCAUCAGAGGAUUGAGGUGGAGUGUCUGCGGAGGAUCGGAGCACCGGAGGAGAACAGGGAGCACGUGCGGAGGACGGGAGCGCUGUCAGAAGGCAUAGUUAGUGCGCCGGCAGAGGUUAGAUGUAGUGUGCCUUCAGAGGAUAGAGGUGGAGCAUCUGCGGAGGAUAGGAGCACCUGCGGAGGACAGGAAGCAAUUGCCAAGGACAGGAGCACCAUCAGAAGACAGAGUUAGUGCGCUGGCAGAGGUUAGAUGUAGUGCAUCAUCCGAGGACAGAUGUGGAGCGUCUGCAGAGGACAAGAGCAUCUGCGGAGAACACAGACGGCUUGCAGAUAAUGGGAGCGUGGUUAGAAGAUUGAGGUAGUGCGCCGGCAGAGGUUACAGGUAUUGUGCCAUCAGAGGAUCGGGGCGGAGGGUCUGCCGAGGAUCGGAGCACCUGCGGAGAACAGGGAGCACCUGUGGAGGACGGGAGCGCUGUUAGAAGGCAUAGUUAGUUCGCCGGCAGAGGUUAGAUGUAGUGUGCCUUCAGAGGAUAGUGGUGUAGCAUCUGCGGAGGAUAGGAGCAUCUGCGGAGAACAGAGACCGCUUGCAGAUGAUGGGAGCGUGGUUAGGAGAUAGAGGUAGUGCGCCAGCAGAGGUUAGAGGCAUUGUGCCAUCAGAGGAUCGAGGUGGAGGGUCUGUGAAGGAUGGGAGCACCUGCAGCGAACAGGGAGCACCUGCGGAGGACAGGAGCACUGUCAGAAGACAUAGUUAGUGCGCCGGCAGAGGUUAGAUGUAGUGUGCCUUCAGAGGAUAUAGGUGGAGCAUCUGCGGAGGAUAGGAGCACCUGUGGAGAACAGGAAGCGAUUGCCAAGGACAGCAGCACCAUCAGAAGACAGAGUUAGUGCGCCAGCAGAGGUUAGAUGUAGUGCAUCAUCAGAGGAUCGAGUUGGAGCGUCUGCGGAGAACAAGAGCAUCUGCGGAGAACACAGACGGCAUGCAGAUGAUGGGAGCGUGGUUAGAAGAUAGAGGUAGUGUGCCAGCAGAGGUUAGAUGUAGUGUGCCAUUAGAGGAUCAAGGUGGAGGGUCUGCCUAGGAUUGGAGUACCUCAGGAGAACAGGGAGCACCUGCGGAGGACAGGAGUGCUGUCAGAAGGCAUAGUUAGUGCGUCAGCAGAGGUUAGAUGUAGUGUGCCUUCAGAAAAUAGAGGUGGAGCAUCUGUGGAGGAUAGGAGCACCUGCGGAGAACAGGAAGCGAUUGCCAAGGACAGGAGCACCAUCAGAAGACAUAGUUAGUGCGCCGGCAGAGGUUAGAUGUAGUGCAUCAUCAGAGGAUCGAGUUGGAGCGUCUGCAGAGGACAAGAGCAUCUGCGGAGAACAGUGACCGCUUGCAGAUGAUGGGAGCGUGGUUAGAAGAUAGAGGUAGUGCGCCGGCAGAGGUUAGAGGUAAUGUGCCAUCAGAGGAUUGAGGUGGAGUGUCUGCGGAGGAUCGGAGCACCGGAGGAGAACAGGGAGCACGUGCGGAGGACGGGAGCGCUGUCAGAAGGCAUAGUUAGUGCGCCGGCAGAGGUUAGAUGUAGUGUGCCUUCAGAGGAUAGAGGUGGAGCAUCUGCGGAGGAUAGGAGCACCUGCGGGGAACAGGAAGCAAUUGCCAAGGACAGGAGCACCAUCAGAAGACAGAGUUAGUGCGCUGGCAGAGGUUAGAUGUAGUGCAUCAUCCGCGGAUCGAGUUGGAGCGUCUGCAGAGGACAAGAGCAUCUGCGGAGGUCAAGGAGUGCCUGCAGAUGUUGGGAGUAUUGUCAGAAGAUAGAGGUAGUGCGCCAGCAGAGGUCAGAUGUAGUGCGCUGUCUGAGGAUAGAUGUGGAGCGUCUGCAGAGGACAAGAGCAUCUGCGGUGAACUGAGACCGCUUGCAGAUGAUGGGAGCGUGGUUAGGAGAUAGAGGUAGUGCGCCAGCAGAGGUUAGAGGCAUUGUGCCAUCAGAGGAUCGAGGUGGAGGGUCUGCGAAGAUUGGGAGCACCUGCAGCGUACAGGGAGCACCUGUGGAGGACAGGAGCGCUGUCAGAAGACAUAGUUAGUUCGCCGGCAGAGGUUAGAUGUAGUGUGCCUUCAGAGGAUAGAGGUGUAGCAUCUGCGGAGGAUAGGAGCACCUGCGGAGAACAGGAAGCGAUUGCCAAGGACAGGAGCACCAUCAGAAGACAGAGUUAGUGCGCCGGCAGAGGUUAGAUGUAGUGCAUCAUCAGAGGAUCGAGUUGGAGCGUCUGCGGAGGACAAGAGCAUCUGCGGAGAACAGAGACCGGUUGCAGAUGAUGGGAGCGUGGUUAGAAGAUAGAGGUAGUGCGCCAGCAGAGGUUAGAGGUAGUGUGCCAUCAAAGGAUCAAGGUGGAGGGUCUGCGAAGGAUGGGAGCACCUGCAGCGAACAGGGAGCACCUGCGGAGGACAGGAGCACUGUCAGAAGACAGAGUUAGUGCGCCGGCAGAGGUUAGAUGUAGUGCAUCAUCAGAAGAUCGAGUUGGAGUGUCUGCAGAGGACAAGAGCAUCUGCGGAGAACAGUGACCGCUUGCAGAUGAUGGGAGCGUGGUUAGAAGAUAGAGGUUGUGCGCCAGUAGAGGUUAGAGGUAGUGUGCCAUCAGAGGAUCAAGGUGGAGGGUCUGCCUAGGAUCGGAGUACCUCAGGAGAACAGGAAGCACCUGCGGAGGACAGGAGUGCUGUCAGAAGACAUAGUUAGUGCGCCGGCAGAGGUUAGAUGUAGUGUGCCUUCAGAGGAUAGAGGUGGAGCAUCUGUGGAGGAUAGGAGCACCUGUGGAGAACAGGGAGCACGUGCGGAGGACGGGAGCGCUGUCAGAAGGCAUAGUUAGUGCGCUGGCAGAGGUUAGAUGCAGUGUGCCUUCAGAGGAUAUAAGUGGAGCAUCUGCGGAGGAUAGGAGCACCUGCAGAGGACAUAGAACACCUGAAGACGAUGGGAGGGCUGUCAGAAUGCAUAGUUAGUGCGCCAGCAGAGGUUAGAUGUAGUGCAUCAUCAGAGGAUUGAGGUGGAGCAUUGGCAGAGGCUGGGAACACCUACAGAGAUCAAGGAGUGCCUGCAGAUGACGGGAGUGUUGUCAGAAGAUAGAGGUAGUGUGCCGGCAGAGGUCAGAGGUAGUGCGCUGUCGGAGGAUCGAGGUGGAGCGUCUGGGGAGGAUGGGAGCAUUUGUGGAGAACAGGGAGCAGCUGUGGAGGACAGGAGUGCUGUCAGAAGUCAGUUAGUGCGCCAGCAGAGGUUAGAUGUAGUGUGCCUUCAGAGGAUAUAGGUGGAGCAUCUGCGGAGGAUAGGAGCACCUGUGGAGAACAGGAAGCGAUUGCCAAGGACAGCAGCACCAUCAGAAGACAGAGUUAGUGCGCCAGCAGAGGUUAGAUGUAGUGCAUCAUCAGAGGAUCGAGUUGGAGCGUCUGCGGAGAACAAGAGCAGCUGCGGAGAACACAGACGGCAUGCAGAUGAUGGGAGCGUGGUUAGAAGAUAGAGGUAGUGCGCCAGCAGAGGUUAGAUGUAGUGUGCCAUCAGAGGAUCAAGGUGGAGGGUCUGCCUAGGAUCGGAGUACCUCAGGAGAACAGGGAGCACCUGCGGAGGACAGGAGUGCUGUCAGAAGGCAUAGUUAGUGCGUCAGCAGAGGUUAGAUGUAGUGUGCCUUCAGAAAAUAGAGGUGGAGCAUCUGUGGAGGAUAGGAGCACCUGCGGAGAACAGGAAGCGAUUGCCAAGGACAGGAGCACCAUCAGAAGACAGAGUUAGUGCGCCGGCAGAGGUUAGAUGUAGUGCAUCAUCAGAGGAUCGAGUUGGAGCGUCUGCAGAGGACAAGAGCAUCUGCGGAGAACAGUGACCGCUUGCAGAUGAUGGGAGCGUGGUUACGAGAUAGAGGUAGUGCGCCGGCAGAGGUUAGAGGUAUUGUGCCAUCAGAGGACCAAGGCGGAGGGUCUGCAGAGGAUCGGAGCACCUGCGGAGAACAGGGAGCACCUGUGGAGGACGGGAGCGCUGUUAGAAGGCAUAGUUAGUUCGCCGGCAGAGGUUAGAUGUAGGGCAUCAUCAGAGGAUCGAGUUGGAGCGUCUGCGGAGGACAAGAGCAUCUGCGGAGAACAGAGACCGGUUGCAGAUGAUGGGAGCGUGGUUAGGAGAUAGAGGUAGUGCGCCAGCAGAGGCUAGAGGUAUUGUGCCAUCAGAGGAUCGAGGUGGAGGGUCUGCGAAGGAUGGGAGCACCUGCAGCGAACCGGGAGGAUCUGUGGAGGACAGGAGCGCUGUCAGAAGACAUAGUUAGUGCGCCGGCAGAGGUUAGAUAUAGUGUGCCUUCAGAAAAUAAAGGUGGAGCGUCUGCAGAGGACAAGAGCACCUGCGGAGAACAGGAAGCGAUUGCCAAGGACAGGAGCACCAUCAGAAGACAGAGUUAGUGCGCCGGCAGAGGUUAGAUGUAGUGUGCCUUCAGAGGAUCGAGUUGGAGCGUCUGCGGAGAACAAGAGCAUCUGCGGAGAACACAGGCAGCAUGCAGAUGAUGGGAGUGUGGUUAGAAGAUAGAGGUUGUGCGCCAGUAUAGGUUAGAGGUAGUGUGCCAUUAGAGGAUCAAGGUGGAGGGUCUGCCUAGGAUCGGAGUACCUGAGGAGAACAGGGAGCACCUGCGGAGGACAGGAGUGCUGUCAGAAGACAUAGUUAGUGCGCCAGCAGGGGUUAGAUGUAGUGUGCCUUCAGAGGAUAUAGAUGGAGCAUCUGCGGAGGACGGGAGCAACUGCAGAGAGCACAGAGCGCCGGCAGAUGAUGGGAGCGUUGUCAGAAGAUAGAGGUAGUGCGCCGGCAGAGUUUAGAGGUAGUGCUUCAUCAGAGGAUAUACGUGAAGCGUCUGCGGAGGACAAGAGCAUCUGCGGAGAACAGAGACCAGUUGCAGAUGAUGGGAGCGUGGUUACGAGAUAGAGGUAGUGCGCCAGCAGGGGUUAGAGGUAUUGUGCCAUCAGAGGAUCAAGGUGGAGGGUCUGCGGAGGAUGGGAGCACCUGCAGCGAACAGGGAGCACCUGCGGAGGACAGGAGCGCUGUCAGAAGACAUAGUUAGUGCACCGGCAGAGGUUAGAUGUAGUGUGUCUUCAGAAAAUAGAGGUGGAGCAUCUGUGGAGGAUAGGAGCACCUGCGAAGAAUAGGAAGCUAUUGCCAAGGACAGGAGCACCAUCAGAAGACAGAGUUAGUGCGCUGGCCGAGGUUAGAUGUAGUGCAUCAUCCGAGGACAGAUGUUGAGCGUCUGCAGAGGACAAGAGCAUCUGCGGAGGUCAAGGAGCGCCUGCAGAUGUUGGGAGUAUUGUCAGAAGAUAGAGGUAGUGCGCCAGCAGAGGUCAGAUGUAGUGCGCUGUCUGAGGAUAGAUGUGGAGCAUCUGCAGAGGACAAGAGCAUCUGCGGAGAACACAGACGGCUUGCAGAUAAUGGGAGCGUGGUUAGAAGAUUGAGGUAGUGCGCCGGCAGAGGUUACAGGUAUUGUGCCAUCAGAGGAUCGGGGCGGAGGGUCUGCCGAGGAUCGGAGCACCUGCGGAGAACAGGGAGCACCUGUGGAGGACGGGAGCGCUGUUAGAAGGCAUAGUUAGUUCGCCGGCAGAGGUUAGAUGUAGUGUGCCUUCAGAGGAUAUAAGUGUAGCAUCUGCGGAGGAUAGGAGCAUCUGCGGAGAACAGAGACCGCUUGCAGAUGAUGGGAGCGUGGUUAGGAGAUAGAGGUAGUGCGCCAGCAGAGGUUAGAGGCAUUGUGCCAUCAGAGGAUCGAGGUGGAGGGUCUGCGAAGGAUGGGAGCACCUGCAGCGAACAGGGAGCACCUGCGGAGGACAGGAGCACUGUCAGAAGACAUAGUUAGUGCGCCGGCAGAGGUUAGAUGUAGUGUGCCUUCAGAGGAUAUAGGUGGAGCAUCUGCGGAGGAUAGGAGCACCUGUGGAGAACAGGAAGCGAUUGCCAAGGACAGCAGCACCAUCAGAAGACAGAGUUAGUGCGCCAGCAGAGGUUAGAUGUAGUGCAUCAUCAGAGGAUCGAGUUGGAGCGUCUGCGGAGAACAAGAGCAUCUGCGGAGAACACAGACAGCAUGCAGAUGAUGGGAGCGUGGUUAGAAGAUAGAGGUAGUGUGCCAGCAGAGGUUAGAUGUAGUGUGCCAUUAGAGGAUCAAGGUGGAGGGUCUGCCUAGGAUUGGAGUACCUCAGGAGAACAGGGAGCACCUGCGGAGGACAGGAGCGCUGUCGGAAGGCAUAGUUAGUGCGUCAGCAGAGGUUAGAUGUAGUGUGCCUUCAGAAAAUAGAGGUGGAGCAUCUGUGGAGGAUAGGAGCACCUGCGGAGAACAGGAAGCGAUUGCCAAGGACAGGAGCACCAUCAGAAGACAUAGUUAGUGCGCCGGCAGAGGUUAGAUGUAGUGCAUCAUCAGAGGAUCGAGUUGGAGCAUCUGCAGAGGACAAGAGCAUCUGCGGAGAACAGUGACCGCUUGCAGAUGAUGGGAGCGUGGUUAGAAGAUAGAGGUAGUGCGCCGGCAGAGGUUAGAGGUAAUGUGCCAUCAGAGGAUUGAGGUGGAGUGUCUGCGGAGGAUCGGAGCACCGGAGGAGAACAGGGAGCACGUGCGGAGGACGGGAGCGCUGUCAGAAGGCAUAGUUAGUGCGCCGGCAAAGGUUAGAUGUAGUGUGCCUUCAGAGGAUAGAGGUGGAGCAUCUGCGGAGGAUAGGAGCACCUGCGGAGAACAGGAAGCAAUUGCCAAGGACAGGAGCACCAUCAGAAGACAGAGUUAGUGCGCUGGCAGAGGUUAGAUGUAGUGCAUCAUCCGAGGAUCGAGUUGGAGCGUCUGCAGAGGACAAGAGCAUCUGCGGAGGUCAAGGAGUGCCUGCAGAUGUUGGGAGUAUUGUCAGAAGAUAGAGGUAGUGCGCCAGCAGAGGUCAGAUGUAGUGCGCUGUCUGAGGAUAGAUGUGGAGCGUCUGCAGAGGACAAGAGCAUCUGCGGAGAACUGAGACCGCUUGCAGAUGAUGGGAGCGUGGUUAGGAGAUAGAGGUAGUGCGCCAGCAGAGGUUAGAGGCAUUGUGCCAUCAGAGGAUCGAGGUGGAGGGUCUGCGAAGAUUGGGAGCACCUGCAGCGUACAGGGAGCACCUGUGGAGGACAGGAGCGCUGUCAGAAGACAUAGUUAGUUCGCCGGCAGAGGUUAGAUGUAGUGUGCCUUCAGAGGAUAGAGGUGUAGCAUCUGCGGAGGAUAGGAGCACCUGCGGAGAACAGGAAGCGAUUGCCAAGGACAGGAGCACCAUCAGAAGACAGAGUUAGUGCGCCGGCAGAGGUUAGAUGUAGUGUGCCUUCAGAGGAUCGAGUUGGAGCGUCUGCGGAGAACAAGAGCAUCUGCGGAGAACACAGACAGCAUGCAGAUGAUGGGAGUGUGGUUAGAAGAUAGAGGUUGUGCGCCAGUAUAGGUUAGAGGUAGUGUGCCAUUAGAGGAUCAAGGUGGAGGGUCUGCCUAGGAUCGGAGUACCUGAGGAGAACAGGGAGCACCUGCGGAGGACAGGAGUGCUGUCAGAAGACAUAGUUAGUGCGCCGGCAGAGGUUAGAUGUAGUGUGCCUUCAGAGGAUAUAGAUGGAGCAUCUGCGGAGGACGGGAGCAACUGCAGAGAGCACAGAGCACCGGCAGAUGAUGGGAGCGUUGU